CUUCAUUCCCCACCCUGUUAGGUCAUAUAUCUAAAUACUAUUUUCUUUUUGUGUUGUAAAUCAAAUAGGCCAACUGCUGAAACCAUUGGGCUACGAUUUCGGCAUAAGGCCCAGAUAACCCAUUAAGCUAAAUUUUCUCUUCUUCUUUCUCUUUCAUUCUCUUCGUCUACUCUUUUUCUGCGUAUCUCCGAAGCAGGAAAAAAGGAAAUAGAAAACGCAGAUGGAAGAACCACAAAACGGCAAUACAAAUUUGAAUACAGUCGCGGAGGUGGAGGAGCUGGUAAUAGGACCCGGACCCGCCCCUCGAGCCCGACCCAAGCGCCCGCUCCAGUUCGAACAAGCAUAUCUCGAUUCCCUUCCUUCGGCUAACAUGUAUGAGAAAAGUUAUAUGCAUCGUGAUGUGGCUACUCAUGUCGCUGUAUCGUCUGCAGAUUUUUUCAUUACUGGAAGUGUUGAUGGGCAUUUGAAAUUUUGGAAGAAAAAAGCUAUUGGGAUCGAGUUUGCAAAGCAUUUUAGAUCCCACCUGGGUCCCAUUGAAGGUCUAGCGGUUAGUGCAGAUGGUUUACUUUGUUGUACAAUUUCCAAUGAUCGUUCGGUGAAGGUAUAUGACGUGGUCAACUAUGACAUGAUGGUCAUGCUUCGCCUACCUUAUGUUCCUGGUGCUGUUGAAUGGGUCUACAAGCAAGGGGAUGUUAAAGCUAAGCUUGCCAUUAGUGAUAGAAAUUCAUCAUUGGUGCAUAUAUAUGAUGCACGAGCUGGUUCAAAUGAACCUAUCAUCUCGAAAGAGAUACACCUGGGCCCAGUGAAAGUAAUGAGGUACAAUUCUGUAUUCGACAGUGUUAUAUCUGCUGAUGAGAGGGGAAUUAUUGAGUAUUGGAGCCCUACCACACUUCAGUUCCCAGAAAGCGAGGUUAAUUUUAGAUUGAAAAGUGACACUAAUCUCUUUGAAAUUGCAAAAUGCAAGACAACCAUUUCUGCCAUUGAGGUGAGCCCAGAUGGUAAGCAAUUUUCUAUUACAUCACCUGAUCGUAGGAUACGUGUCUUUUGGUUCAGAACUGGUAAAUUAAGGCGAGUUUAUGAUGAAUCACUUGAGGUGGCCCAAGAUCUUCAGAGAAGUGAUGCUCCCAUGUAUCGGCUGGAAGCUAUCGACUUUGGCAGAAGAAUGGCUGUUGAAAAGGAAAUUGAAAAAACCGAAAUGGCUCCUCAACCAAAUGCAGUUUUUGAUGAAAGCUCCAAUUUCCUCAUAUAUGCUACUCUUCUUGGGAUAAAAAUGGUAAAUUUACACACCAACAAAGUUGCUCGAAUACUUGGAAAAGUGGAGAGCAAUGACAGAUUCUUGAGAAUUGCAUUAUAUCAAGGUGAUCGAAGUAGCAAGAAAGUAAGAAAAAUUCCUGCUGCUGCAGCAAAUGUCAAUGAAAGCAAAGAGCCAUUAACCGAUCCAACUCUCUUGUGUUGUGCUUUCAAGAAGCAUAGGAUCUAUUUAUUCAGUCGACGAGAACCAGAAGAACCUGAAGAUGCCACAAAAGGAAGGGAUGUCUUUAAUGAAAAGCCACCUGCUGAUGAGCUUCUGGCUGUAUCUGAUAUUGGGAAAGCAGUUACAACAUCUCUUCCUGACAAUGUGAUACUGCACACCACAAUGGGUGAUGUUCACAUGAGACUCUACCCAGAAGAAUGUCCAAAAACUGUGGAGAACUUCACAACACACUGUCGGAAUGGCUAUUAUGAUAAUCUCAUCUUUCACCGUGUCAUUAAAGGAUUCAUGAUACAAACAGGAGAUCCAUUGGGAGAUGGCACUGGUGGGCAGUCUAUUUGGGGAAGGGAAUUUGAGGAUGAGUUUCAUAAAAGUUUACGACAUGACAGGCCUUUCACAGUUUCGAUGGCUAAUGCUGGCCCAAAUACAAAUGGCUCUCAGUUUUUUAUAACCACAGUGGCCACUCCGUGGCUGGACAAUAAGCAUACAGUAUUUGGCAGAGUUGUUAAGGGAAUGGAUGUUGUGCAGGGGAUUGAGAAAGUGAAGACAGACAAAGCUGACAAGCCAUAUCAAGAUGUAAAAAUCUUAAAUGUGACUGUGCCAAAGUCUUAAGUUUCUUCCUGUGGUGAAUCUUUCUAGGUACUUUUUGACCUGCAUUGAACAUUGGCCAUGGGAGACUAUAUAUCUCAGAUAAGUGGUAUAUCAGGCUUGAACAUGAUUGGAAUCAGAAGUUUUUUACUCAUCAUUAUGCAGUCAUAGGUCGAGGAGGUCUCGAUCUUCAGUUUCUGU